rnacentral:lncRNA from 1 species
UUUGAAUAAUUAACAAUGAGGAUGAAUAUAUAAAGGUUUUCAUGCCUUUUUCUUUCUCUGAAAAUCUAUGUGAAUUUGAAACCCCCUUACUUCUGCCCGUCAGCAGGUCUUAGUAUCUAUUGGGCCUGGUUGUUUCUUGGGACAUCAGCAAGUCUGUGUGUUUUUACUUCCCUGGCAACAGUCAGAAAAACACUGAUGAUACUGUUAGGCCACAACCUGGCAAGCGCUCAAGGUGGAGGGUGGAAGGGAGCAGGAAGGCUAUCAGAUGCUGGGAGGGGAAACUCUGUUAAAAAUAGCUACUGCCGACUGAGUUUCUACUGUGUGUCAAGCCCUGAGUUCUUAGCUCAUUUCAUUUUCACAGCCACGAAGAAGACACUGCUAUUCCCAUAUUACAGGUGAGGAAGCUGGAGCUCAGAGAGGUUAGCAGGGUCACACAGCAGGUACACGGCAGAGUUUGGGUUAGACCACAGCUCUGCUGGAGCCCGUCUUACUGUAUUGGGGGUACUGCCCUAAGAACUCCACAUAUAAUAAAUCUAAGUAGGUACUGUCAUAAUCUCCAUUCCACAGAUGAGUCACUGUAUCUUGGAGCUCUGCCAUACGAAUUCUCUUACCCGCCCAGCAUAGACAGUCGUGGAAGCCAGAAGAGCUGGCAGAGUCUAGAAAUCGGCUGCCCCCACUCUCACCGCAUACCUGAAGAAAGUGGACCCUCUUUCUCACUUCCUAAGAAUACCCCCGCGAGGUGACAGCAUAUCCUCUCAGCCCGUGGCAGGAGACCUCCCCUACAAAGCCCUAUUGACCAGAAGAGUCCCAUUGCGUGGAUUCCAUCCACCAUGAAAGCCUGCCAGAGCGUAUCUGAAAUGAAGCUCCAAACUCCCAAAGGUUUGCAGGAUCGGAGGAAGUGGGUUAAACAACUGAAAUCCCCCCAAACACCUGUCAACAGCAGAAUGGAGAGACCCGUGGUGGUAGAGUCAUGUCAACAAACCACAGUGACACACAAGGACAUGGAUGAAUCCCACAAGCAUAGAAUGAAAAAUAAAGCCAGACACAAAAGAGCACAGCGUGUGAGAGAGACUGCAUUGCCACGACGUUCCACAACAGUCAAACUCAUGUGUGAUUUCACAAGUCAGGGCAGCAUUUCCCCACAGCUGUACAUGCUGAUUAGAGGGGGUUACUAG